UUCGGACCGGGUCAGUAACGCGUGAGAAUCUAGCUUCAGGUCUGGGACAACCACUGGAAACGGUGGCUAAUACCGGAUGUGCCGGAAGGUGAAAGGCUUGCUGCCUGAAGAUGAGCUCGCGUCCGAUUAGCUAGUAGGUGGGGUAAGAGCCUACCUAGGCGACGAUCGGUAGCUGGUCUGAGAGGAUGACCAGCCACACUGGGACUGAGACACGGCCCAGACUCCUACGGGAGGCAGCAGUGGGGAAUUUUCCGCAAUGGGCGAAAGCCUGACGGAGCAAUACCGCGUGAGGGAGGAAGGCUCUUGGGUUGUAAACCUCUUUUCUCAGGGAAGAACACAAUGACGGUACCUGAGGAAUCAGCAUCGGCUAACUCCGUGCCAGCAGCCGCGGUAAUACGGAGGAUGCAAGCGUUAUCCGGAAUGAUUGGGCGUAAAGCGUCCGCAGGUGGCUGUGUAAGUCUGCUGUCAAAGAGCAAAGCUCAACUUUGUAAAGGCAGUGGAAACUACACGGCUAGAGUGCGUUCGGGGCAGAGGGAAUUCCUGGUGUAGCGGUGAAAUGCGUAGAGAUCAGGAAGAACACCGGUGGCGAAGGCGCUCUGCUAGGCCGCAACUGACACUGAGGACGAAAGUUAAAACCCC
rnacentral:rRNA from 1 species